ensembl:snoRNA
GCAUGGCUGAACACUGUGUUCUUUUUAUCCGUAGUAGACACAGCCAGAUUCCAAGCCAGUGCCUGAUGGUAUGGGGAGUUCUUUCAUAGCUUACUAUUUUCUAAGGUGGAUACAAAU